rnacentral:rRNA from 1 species
CACCGCCCGUCACGCCAUGGGAGCUGGGAGGACCCGAAGCCGGUGCGCCAACCGCAAGGAGGCAGCCGUCUAAGGUCAGCUCAGUGACUGGGGCG